CUCUUUCGUCGGGGAAGAAAAUGGCUGUACCCGAAUAAGAAGGUCCGGCUAACUUCGUGCCAGCAGCUGCGGUAAUACGAAGGGACCUAGCGUAGUUCGGAAUUACUGGGCUUAAAGAGCACGUAGGUGG
rnacentral:rRNA from 1 species